rnacentral:rRNA from 1 species
CACGUAGGGUGCGAGCGUUGUCCGGAAUUAUUGGGCGUAAAGCGCGUGUAGGCGGCCUUGCAAGUCGGGUGUGAAAUCCCUCAGCUUAACUGAGGAAGUGCGCCCGAAACUGCAGAGCUUGAGUGCCGGAGAGGGUGGCGGAAUUCCCCAAGUAGAGGUGAAAUUCGUAGAUAUGGGGAGGAACACCGGUGGCGAAGGCGGCCACCUGGCCGGUAACUGACGCUGAGACGCGAAAGCAUGGGGAGCAAACAGG